rnacentral:misc_RNA from 1 species
CCGGCGGGUGAGUGUGCUCCGACUCCUGCAGGAAGAUUUGGAUACGCACAAGCCCCUCAUGGCCACAUUCCAUUGACCCUCACCCACCCACCCACCUCACUCCGCUUCGAUCCCUCUCUCACGACAUAGGAACUAUGCUGGACAGAAGUGUAGUCUGCAUGCGGCUGUGGUCUUAAUGGUGCCGGGAGGGCCCCACUUCCGUUGAGUUCCGAUGGGGCUGGUUACGGAUGGUUCAAUCAUCAUGGAACUGCGGGAGGGUGUGCGGGUGUCGGAGGAGUGCAUCCGUCGCCUCGAGGCGGCUUUCAGCCUAUUCAUGGACAGCCGCCCGCGCCCGCUGCCGGGAGACGAAGCGGGUGGGGCAGUGGGACGAGUGGCGGCGGGUCUGGGAGGAUAUGGAUGACGCCGUCUCUGAGGAGCUCCAUCGCGGACCGACACACCCACGGAGGAGGAUCCGCGGCCGCUCUUCCGUCUCCCCUCCUCCGUGCUCGGCCUGUGGAAUGCACGCAAGGCGUCGCCGCAGGGCGGAAACAGCGUGUGCCGGCUCAUUCUGCUAGUGGCAUCGACGGCCGAGCGGAUGGAUGCAGCGCAGGCGGCGGCGCAAGCAAUCACGGCGCCUUCGGCUGCGAACGGCCCUGAGCCCCAAUCCGUCGAUAGUGUACUUGUGGGGCAGCGGCCAAACCGUGCAUGACCAGGCUCUUACGUCCACAUCGCUUGUGCGUCGUGCGUGGCGACGGAACUGCAUGCCUGGCUCAGUGGCGACAAGAGGCCAUGCGGGAGGCAGGGGGGUGAAAGCCCACAGUCAUGCCCCUCUUCUCCCCUCCCGAACGAGAGGCUUUUUUGGCGCGGUGCUCGUGCUCAGCGCACCGCGUGUAGCGAGAAGUGAUCUUCCCCUUCCCUCCCUCAUCACCACUUAAAUGCCGAAUCGUGCUUGACUCUUAUCUUCUCAUCGCUCUCACCAGUUCGGCUCGACUUCAUCUCAGCGCAGCUUGUGCAGGCACGGUUCUUUUCCCUCAUUUCUCUCUUGAGCUCCGUCAGAGGCGACACACAGUUGCCGAGGCUCUCCCUCCCCUCUCUUGCUUGUCUACGCUUUCACUCCUGAUGUAGCUCAAUGCGUGCUCACCGAUGCGCGGGGUGGGUAGGAGUGUUUGUAUGCGCUGGUGGUACUGGUCAGACGAGUGAUGUGGACGGAGGAGGGAAGGGGCAGGGGGAGGCGAUGUCUCUUUAACGCUCUGCCUCUCUCCCCAACUCUAAAUUUUCCGUAUGAAUCGGUUUGGGUCGGCGCACUUAUGGUUUCAUACGUAAGGCAUGCAUGUGUAUGUAUGUGUGCACUGGUGUCGCUGGUACUGUAAUUUUUUUUUUUGCUUUGCUUGCUGUGGUGUCUCCGUCAAGCUUCUCUUCCUUCGCUUGGCCUGCUCGUAUUCUCUUGCCGCUCGGUUUGCCUGUCUGGCUGCCUUUUUCAGGCGCUGUGCUGAACGCGUGUGCGCGCGCUUGAGGAAAUAACAC